rnacentral:lncRNA from 1 species
AGACACUGCACGUGUUCUACAGAGAAGAAAGAGGAUGAUGGUAAAGCAGACUGCAGUCUUCAGGCCUGGAGCAGAGAAGGGAGAGUUCCUGCUCUAGUAGCCAGUCCUGCCAGGGUUCUGGCUGUGCCGGGACAGUGAAUGGCCACUCCGUCCCAGAUGAGCUGCAGGAAGCGUUUCGAUGUCAUGUGGAGGUGAUGGCGAUUUUCAACUCAUUCCCGUUACAAACAGCCGACCUUCCUACCGAGUUCAA